rnacentral:rRNA from 1 species
GACGAACGCUGGCGGCGUGCUUAACACAUGCAAGUCGAACGGAAAGGCCCUGCUUGCAGGGUACUCGAGUGGCGAACGGGUGAGUAACACGUGGGUGAUCUGCCCUGCACUUCGGGAUAAGCUUGGGAAACUGGGUCUAAUACCGGAGAGGAGCCAUCUUUAGUGUGGUGGUUGGAAAGUUUUUUCGGUGUAGGAUGAGCUCGCGGCCUAUCAGCUUGUUGGUGGGGUAAUGGCCUACCAAGGCGGCGACGGGUAGCCGGCCUGAGAGGGUGUACGGCCACAUUUGGACUGAGAUACGGCCCCGACUCCUACGGGAGGCAGCAGUGGGGAAUAUUGCACAAUGGGCGCAAGCCUGAUGCAGCGACGCCGCGUGGGGGAUGAAGGCCUUCGGGUUGUAAACUCCUUUCGCUAGGGACGAAGCUUUUUUGUGACGGUACCUAGAUAAGAAGCACCGGCUAACUACGUG